UGGCGAGUGGCGAACGGGUGAGUAACAUAUCGGAACGUACCGGGUAGCGGGGGAUAACUGAUCGAAAGAUCAGCUAAUACCGCAUACGUCUUGAGAGGGAAAGCAGGGGACCUUCGGGCCUUGCGCUAUCCGAGCGGCCGAUAUCUGAUUAGCUGGUUGGCGGGGUAAAGGCCCACCAAGGCGACGAUCAGUAGCGGGUCUGAGAGGAUGAUCCGCCACACUGGGACUGAGACACGGCCCAGACUCCUACGGGAGGCAGCAGUGGGGAAUUUUGGACAAUGGGCGCAAGCCUGAUCCAGCCAUGCCGCGUGUCUGAAGAAGGCCUUCGGGUUGUAAAGGACUUUUGUCAGGGAAGAAAAGGCCGUUGCCAAUAUCGGCGGCCGAUGACGGUACCUGAAGAAUAAGCACCGGCUAACUACGUGCCAGCAGCCGCGGUAAUACGUAGGGUGCGAGCGUUAAUCGGAAUUACUGGGCGUAAAGCGGGCGCAGACGGUUACUUAAGCAGGAUGUGAAAUCCCCGGGCUCAACCCGGGAACUGCGUUCUGAACUGGGUGACUCGAGUGUGUCAGAGGGAGGUGGAAUUCCACGUGUAGCAGUGAAAUGCGUAGAGAUGUGGAGGAAUACCGAUGGCGAAGGCAGCCUCCUGGGAUAACACUGACGUUCAUGUCCGAAAGCGUGGGUAGCAAACAGGAUUAGAUACCCUGGUAGUCCACGCCCUAAACGAUGUCAAUUAGCUGUUGGGCAACUUGAUUGCUUGGUAGCGUAGCUAACGCGUGAAAUUGACCGCCUGGGGAGUACGGUCGCAAGAUUAAAACUCAAAGGAAUUGACGGGGACCCGCACAAGCGGUGGAUGAUGUGGAUUAAUUCGAUGCAACGCGAAGAACCUUACCUGGUUUUGACAUGUGCGGAAUCCUCCGGAGACGGAGGAGUGCCUUCGGGAGCCGUAACACAGGUGCUGCAUGGCUGUCGUCAGCUCGUGUCGUGAGAUGUUGGGUUAAGUCCCGCAACGAGCGCAACCCUUGUCAUUAGUUGCCAUCAUUCGGUUGGGCACUCUAAUGAGACUGCCGGUGACAAGCCGGAGGAAGGUGGGGAUGACGUCAAGUCCUCAUGGCCCUUAUGACCAGGGCUUCACACGUCAUACAAUGGUCGGUACAGAGGGUAGCCAAGCCGCGAGGCGGAGUCAAUCUCACAAAACCGAUCGUAGUCCGGAUUGCACUCUGCAACUCGAGUGCAUGAAGUCGGAAUCGCUAGUAAUCGCAGGUCAGCAUACUGCGGUGAAUACGUUCCCGGGUCUUGUACACACCGCCCGUCACACCAUGGGAGUGGGGGAUACCAGAAGUAGGUAGGGUAACCGCAAGGAGCCC
rnacentral:rRNA from 1 species